UACGUAGGUGGCAAGCGUUGUCCGGAAUUAUUGGGCGUAAAGCGCGCGCGGGCGGUCCUUUAAGUCUGAUGUGAAAGCCCACGGCUCAACCGUGGAGGGUCAUUGGAAACUGGGGGACUUGAGUACAGAAGAGAAGAGUGGAAUUCCACGUGUAGCGGUGAAAUGCGUAGAGAUGUGGAGGAACACCAGUGGCGAAGGCGACUCUUUGGUCUGUAACUGACGCUGAGGCGCGAAAGCGUGGGGAGCAAACAGG
rnacentral:rRNA from 1 species